UGAGACCUGAUGCCGAGCCGAUUGUGGUGAAGUGGAUGAUCCUAUGCUGUCGAGAAAAGCCUCUAGCGAGUUUCAUGGCGGCCCGUACCCUAAACCGACUCAGGUGGUCAGGUAGAGAAUACCGAGGCGUUCGGGUGAACUAUGGUUAAGGAACUCGGCAAAAUGCCCCCGUAACUUCGGGAGAAGGGGGGCCACACCUGGUGACGGAGUUUACCUCUUGAGCUGGGG
rnacentral:rRNA from 1 species